rnacentral:tRNA from 1 species
UUAGCUGAAACCAAACCAGAGGUGAAUCACUGUUAAUGAUUUAAUUGAGCAAUCCUGCUGUU